AUACGUAGGGUGCGAGCGUUGUCCGGAAUUACUGGGCGUAAAGAGCUCGUAGGUGGUUUGUCGCGUCGUCUGUGAAAUUCCGGGGCUUAACUCCGGGCGUGCAGGCGAUACGGGCAUAACUUGAGUACUGUAGGGGAGACUGGAAUUCCUGGUGUAGCGGCGAAAUGCGCAGAUAUCAGGAGGAACACCGGUGGCGAAGGCGGGUCUCUGGGCAGUAACUGACGCUGAGGAGCGAAAGCAUGGGUAGCGAACAGGAUUAGAUACCCUGGUAGUCCAUGCCGUAAACGGUGGGCGCUAGGUGUAGGGGUCUUCCACGACUUCUGUGCCGUAGCUAACGCAUUAAGCGCCCCGCCUGGGGAGUACGGCCGCAAGGCUAAAACUCAAAUGAAUUGACGGGG
rnacentral:rRNA from 1 species